UUAUCGGUGGUUGAGUGGGUUAAAAGUCAAGCUUCACUCACUUAAUAUUUUGUGGUGUUUGGUUCGAAUCCAAGUCUGGGAAA